AGGGCACCAAGCAGAAAUGGUAUGGUUGCUAAGGAGGCGGGCCUGUGGCAGUAGUCAUCCACUGUCGCCAGAGUGAUUUGUGACGUUGCUUUUAUUCUGUAAGAUUGUGUACCUAGCACAGAUUAGUCCUAGGCAAUAAAAGCAAGAGCUUUUAGCCUGGUUUAGAAUCUAACAGCCUGGUUUAGAAAGACUGGCAAUACCCAUAGGUGCCAUGAUGAAAGUAGGUGCCAGAGCACAAAGAAGGGUCACAAGAUUCAGGCUGGAUGAUCAAAGAGGGCUGCCUGGAGGAGGAAGCCCUUGAGGAGAAUUGGUGUGGAAUUGGUGCAGUUGAGGGGCUACUGCUACUUCAGGAAACUGCAGCCUAGGGAAGCUGGUAAUCCCAGGUAGAGGCCGGAUGAGAGCGCAUUCCCUGCUCCCACACCAGCCAUCUCUCCUGCGCUGACACCUUCAUCUUCCUGUGAGGAAGGACUCCACGUUCUGGCUCUGAUCCUGGCCUAGGCGCUGGACGACGUUGUGCUCUUAGACGCCUUAGAUCUAUCCUGCUUGUACCUGGUUUCCUCCCUUAAGGAACUGGAACUGUGGUCAUUCUUCACGGAGACGAUAUAAUUCAGAUAUAUUCAGGGACCUUCUUCCAAGGUUGUCAUCUAAUUGUGAUGGGAGCUGCCAUAACACGUCACAAGACAGGUACACGGCAGACACUCAGAGUUGAAGGUGCAAGCGAAAACCGGAAGCAAGCUGGGCUUUCUACCACUGAGGAAAAUAUAUCAAGAUGCCUGGGAAGAAAUCCUGAGCUUCUGCCUCAGCUCACAUCUUGUAAGCCACAUCACAUGAAGGUGACAUGUCUUAGGCUCCUCUGGGCUGCAAUUGUUCCUCCGACUUUCCUUGUUUUUGAUGAUCUCCCUCCUUCCUGGACAGAAAAAGAAGAAGGAAAAAAAAAAGAACAAGCAGACAACAGCUACCAUGCUGGUGCUGGGCUUCACCUGCUGGACUCUGAACUUUCUCGGCCUCAACUCUGCCUCUUCUCAGCAUAGCUAACAAUCUGCCCUAACCUAUGACUUACUCCAAAUCCUAAGAACCAGAUUCCCUGAUCCUGCAUUCACCUGGUUCCCAGUCAUGCGGGCAGGUCAUAUCCUAACGUUGGCUGAGUGCCCUCUGUAAUGGAACCGCCCAUCAUCUCCUUGUCUGGACAGCCAGAUCCUGACCCUGCCACCCCUCAGAAGGCUCCCUGGAAGCAGGGCUCAUACCCCCCCACACCCCGGGAUCCUUAGCACCCAACAGGGCGUGGCCCAGCAAACCCUCGUUGAAGGCAUGAAUGUCCUGCUCUCUUGUGAGGCCCACACCUAGUUAUGACAAAGUAGAGCAAAGGGAGGUGGAGGUGCUAAGAGGACAAACGGUGUGAGAGAGUGUCCUUCUAAACUACCUGAGGUGGGGGGGUGUCUUUCUAUCUUGACUGAUGCCAGUUCUUUAGAGAUGCCAUAGAUAAGAUCUGAGCUGUGGCCUGCCCAGGCCAGAGCAGGGAAAACUGGUCUUAGCACUUCAAAGAGAACUUCAGGAUCAGACAAAACUGACUUAGCUAAACCAGGGAACAAGACAUUCAUUCAUUCAUUCAUUCAUUAACAUGUAUUGAGUACCAUGUGUGUCAGGUUCUAUGCUGGGCACCCAGAGAUAUAAUAGUGAAUGAGACACACUCUCUACUCUCAAAAUGCUUAGAGUGAGGAAGACAAACUAGGGAGCCUGUCUUUACGGAGUAUGGUGUGUGCUGAAAUAACGGUAGCUAGUGUUUAUUGAAUGCUCACUAUGUGCCAGACUGCAUUAAGCCAUUGACCAUGAAUUGUGUCAUAUAAUCUUCAUAGGUACUCUGUUAGGAAGUACUAUUAUUGUCUCUAUCUUACAGAUGAGGAAAUGGAAGCACAGAGAGGUUGAGCAACUUGCCCAAGAUCACACAGCUCAGACAAGUGGCAUACCUAGAAUUUCUAUCCAGAUAGUUUGACUCCAGGGCCUGUGCUUCUGCUCCUCCCCUAGAAUAGUUAUGAUUGUGGAUGACACAGGACACUAUUGGGGCCCAUAAAAGUACACCACCUAUGUGACAAGGACAUCCAGAACCAUUCAGAGACUGUAACUUGUGUUGAUAUGUCGGCAGGGAGUGAAGACUGGGGAGAGAAGAGGUAAAAUGAUCAGUAGGCACCAGUUCACAAAGGUCUUUAGAAGCCAGGUUGAGGGGGCACGACUUUAUCCUGAGGAUAGUGGGGAAAUGCUGAAGCAUAAGCAGGAGCAUUUCACAAUUGGAUGGCCCUUCAGAAAGCUCAGUUUUAACUGUACUUUGGAGAAGGAAAGGAGUCAAGCCACACUGGAGUCUGUUAUAGUUGUUCAAUUAGAGACACUGGCGGCCUGAAGCGUGGACUGGCCGUGGCCCGAGAGAGAAGCAGCUUGAAUGCUGCCUACGUACCCACUCAUCACAAACUAGAGCAAAGGGAGGCAGAGGCGCUGAGAACACACACUGUGUGAGAGCAAUUUCUCUGCUGUAGGGAAAGUCAACACUGAGCCUGAAGACGGUGGGGAGUGAGAUACCUAGAUGGCCCCAGAGGGUUGAGGGUCAAGGGUCGGCACUGGUCCAACAUCAGGCAAUGGGCCAGUGUCUAAACUGGCAAGAGGGUGGUAGAAGAAAAAUCCGGUCUGAGGGGGUAGGGACCCAGCGAUAGGAAGAAGAAGCCAAUGAAAGGACUCCAGCCCCUGGAGAACUGGAUGGAGAAAGAGGAUUUUCCACUGGGCCACUGGGGACAGGGGAGACUGUGGGAAACCAGGACCAGGAACCUGGGUCCCUGAGGCUGUCCCAGGUUAGCAGUGAGACUGAGGAUGCUCAUCGGUAAGACAGGGAUUCAGAGUUUCUUCCAUGGCCCUCUCUCCCCACCUCUACCGGGUGGUUCCUAAUUAAUCAGGUCUGUCUUCAAAGUUAGUGGGAGGGAGCCGUGCGGUAAAUGGGAAAGAGCAGCGCUUCAACGUUAGAGAGAUUGAGGUUUGAACCUCAUCUGGAGCCACUUACUAGAUCUAAGGCUCCAGGCAACGUACUUAACCUUUCUGAGCCUCAGUUCAUUCCAUCUGUGACACGAGGACAACAAUAUCUACUCCGUGGGGCUAUUGAGUGGGAAUCACAGCACCUACUGCCCCGGGUUAUUGUGAGGUUGUGGGAGUUGGCAUGUGAAAGGCCAGGAUGGGUGCUGAGUCGGUCCUCAACUUUUCUCCUUUAUCAGAAGUCAUCUGCCAGCUGGGCCCUGGGCUGAAGGUUUUGGGUGCUCAUUAGCCCCUUCUUCACAAACGUUGGGAAAUAAGACUCUCCCCAUCUUGUGAGCCAGGAAACAGUGCUGUCUGUGAAGUGUCUGAGCUUGAGAUUUCUCUCUCUCUGCCAAAAAGGGAGAUUAGCACAUAUUAAAAAGCUGUUAAAGACACAUUAGCGGUAAACUGAGACCCUCUCUUUAGCAUAAUCAGAAAAAUAAAAAGAAUUGAAAAGAAACUUAGUUUCAGGGUUUUUUUGUUUUAGUGUGUGUGUGUAUAUAUGUAUGAAAUUUUAUUAACGUACAAAUGAUUUAUAAUGUGUUACUUUCUGUUAUAUCAAAGUGAUUCAAUUUAUUCUUUGUCCCAUUCUUUCCCAUUAUGGUUUAUUAUAGGAUAUUGAACAUAGUUCUCUGUGCUAUAUAGUGAGACCUUGUUGUUUGUGCAUUCUACAUAUAAGAGUUUGCAUCUGCUAAUCCUCAACUCCCAAUCCCUCCCCCCCACCUCCCCUUUCCCUUGGCAACCACGUCUGUUUUCUGUAUCCGUGAGUCUGAGAAACUUACUUUUUCACUGCGUAAUUUAACGUCACAUCCUUGAGCUACCUAAAAUCAUCUUGCCUCCUCAAGCUAAGUUAGGUGACUUGUCCAAUGUCAUAUAGCUAGGUAGUGGCAGCCUGGGGCUGGAACGCGGGCUUCUUUUUUUUCCAGCAGUAAAUAAUUAGCAGGGAAAAAAGUUUUCAUUGAAACCCAAACCUGAAACAAUGUAACCUAUGUUUUAUCUAGAUUUUAUAUAUCCCUCUUCUAUCUCAAAAAAGAAAGAAUCAGGCAAUUUUAAUAUUUGAAUAUUAAAAGAUUUUAUAUACAUUUAGUUAACGGUAUCUUUUAGAAUAUUUUCUCUUCAUUUUCAAAUUCAGGCUUCUUAACUUCUAAUGCUUUGUUCUUUCUACUACACCAUAGUUCUCUUUGCAAUCAUUAUUUUAAAUUAGGUCAAGUGCCUAGUGUGUGUGCUAGGCAGCUCUGUUACAAAUUCAUAAAGCACAGAUUUUAUAGCUGGAAAAAAACCUCAGAAAUUAUCUAAUCCAGGAGUUUCCUGGUGGCCUAGCAGGUUGAGGAUCCAGCAUUGUCACUGCUGUGGUGCAGGAUCAAUCCCUGGCCUGGGAACUUAUGCAUGCCGAGGGCGCUGCCCAAAAAACCCCCAACAAAAUGAAAUAAUCUAAUCCAACUCAUGUCAAAGCAGAGCAAAGGGAAGUGGAGGUGCUAAUAAGGGAAGAACUGAGAUAUCAAGAAUCUUGGUUUAAACUCAUGAUUAGAGGAAGUUUGAUCCUGAUCCAAACUCAUGUCCUUUAACAUAUGAGAAACCCAAUGUGUGUGUGUGUGUGUUUUAGGGCCACACCUGUGGCAUACGGAGGUUCCCAGUCUAGGGGUCCAAUCAGAGCUACAGCUGCCAGGCUAUAUCACAGCCACAGCAAUGUGGGAUCCAAGCCA